AGCGAACGCUGGCGGCAGGCCUAACACAUGCAAGUCGAACGGAUCCUUCGGGAUUAGUGGCGGACGGGUGAGUAACACGUGGGAACGUGCCCCUUUGGUUCGGAACAACUCAGGGAAACUUGAGCUAAUACCGGAUGUGCCCUUCGGGGGAAAGAUUUAUCGCCAUUGGAGCGGCCCGCGUCUGAUUAGCUAGUUGGUGAGGUAAAGGCUCACCAAGGCGACGAUCAGUAGCUGGUCUGAGAGGAUGAUCAGCCACAUUGGGACUGAGACACGGCCCAAACUCCUACGGGAGGCAGCAGUGGGGAAUCUUGCGCAAUGGGCGAAAGCCUGACGCAGCCAUGCCGCGUGAAUGAUGAAGGUCUUAGGAUUGUAAAAUUCUUUCACCGGGGACGAUAAUGACGGUACCCGGAGAA
rnacentral:rRNA from 1 species